GGGGCUGAUUUUUGGAUUCGACGGGAUGUUGAAUAUUUAGAGCGCAUGUCGAGGUGAGGUAGGCCUCGUAAAAAACCUCAAAAAAAUAAUUGCAAAUAAUCGUUCAUAUAAUGGAUCCGUUGCCUUGGCAGCCUAAGUCAGAUUAAUACUCUGAGGGUUCCCUUUCUUGUUUUAGUAUUUACUCUUAGAUAUUAAAAGAUUUCUUAAGAAAGGUUAUAGAGAUAAGAGGAAGCGUUAUUGUUUGUUUGCUUUAACACAUAGCGUUUUUUUGAAAAGCUAAUUAGUUUAGUGAUUGAUCUUAAUAUAUCUAGACUAGUGAAAUGUUCAUUAAGAUCUAAGCAUGUAGUUUGCAAAAAAUAUUAAAUAUUUCUGGACGCGGGUUCGAAUCCCGCCAGCUCCAUAU
rnacentral:tmRNA from 1 species